UACAGAGGGUGCAAGCGUUAAUCGGAAUUACUGGGCGUAAAGCGUGCGUAGUCGGUUAUUUAAGUCGGAUGUGAAAUCCCCGGGCUCAACCUGGGAAUUGCAUUCGAUACUGGGUAGCUAGAGUUCGGCAGAGGGAAGCGGAAUUUCGAGUGUAGCGGUGAAAUGCGUAGAUAUCCGAAGGAACAUCAGUGGCGAAAGCGGCUUCCUGGACCAGAACUGACGAUCAGGCACGAAAGCGUGGGGAGCAAACAGG
rnacentral:rRNA from 1 species